rnacentral:RNase_P_RNA from 2 species
CAAGUAAACCGGGUGACCGCCCCGGUAUUUGCCGGGGAGGAAAGUCCGAGCUCCGCCGGGCAGGAUGCUGGGUAAUACCCAGGAGGGGCGACCCUACGGAAAGUGCCACAGAAACAUACCGCCCUUCCUGCAAAGGAAGGGUAAGGGUGAAAUGGUGAGGUAAGAGCUCACCGGCGGCCGGGUGACCGGCCGGCCGUGCAAACCCCGUCCGGAGCAAGACCGAAUAGAGGGACAAUGGGACGCCCGGCCCGUUCCCCGGGUUGGUCGCUGGACCCUGCCGGUAACGGCAGGGCUAGAUAGAUGGUCACCAUCCUUCCCCCUCGGGAGGGACACAGAACUCGGCUUACAGGUUUACUUGGCUC